AGAAUCAACGCUGGCGGCGUGCCUAACACAUGCAAGUCGCACGAGAAAGGGGCUUCGGCCCUGAGUAAAGUGGCGCACGGGUGAGUAACACGCGAAUAAUCUACCUCUGAGUGGGGAAUAACUGAGAGAAAUCUUAGCUAAUACCGCAUAAUACUUACGAGUCAAAGCAGCAAUGCGCUUGGAGAGGAGUUCGCGGCCGAUUAGUUAGUUGGCUGGGUAAUGGCCCACCAAGACGAUGAUCGGUAUCCGGCCUGAGAGGGGCGCGACGGACGACGACCUGGAACGUGAAACACGGUCCAGACUCCUACGGGAGGCAGCAGUGGGGAAUUUUGCGCAAUGGGGAAACCCUGACGCAGCAACGCCGCGUGGAGGAUGAAGUAUCUUGGUACGUAAACUCCUUUCGAUUGGGAAGAUAAUGACGGUACCAAUACGAAGAAGCCCCGGCUAACUUCGUGCCAGCAGCCGC
rnacentral:rRNA from 1 species